rnacentral:lncRNA from 1 species
AGAUGGAUCAAACACCAACUCUCAAGAGGAGGAUCAAACACCAACUCUUAAGCGAAUUCAGAGAAUUCAAAGACAAGACAAAGCUUGAAAGAACUGCGUUAUUUUAUUGAUAGUAGGGUAAAAGAUACACGGCUGCUUAUAAGGGACUUUAUAAGAGAGUCCAAUGCAGCUUUGCCCUUCUUGGGGACUUGAAGCAAAUUACAUAAUAAGGACACAACUUCUGGGACUCUAAGAAAACAAUACAGACUCGUGCAAUAACUAAAAGAUAUUAAGAAAUACUUUUAAAGCUUAAAACUAUGAAUAGAACCUGUAAAACAAACCAAAGACAGAAAAUCCAUAUUAGGCAAGUAAAUAAACGUAUUCAUUCUCUUACCUUGGUGGGUUGGACGGCUGAGAUGAUCUUAAGUUGGUAUGAUGCUGAUGCUGAACAAGGACACUUCUUUGUUGGGUCGGAGAAGUGGCAAUUCAGUUGUUGGGUCGUCUUGUAUCAGGUAAGCUUCUUCUUUAUUAGGCUCCUCCAGGCUUCUUUCUUGGACCGUGGCCUUAAAGCUUGGGUACAAAGAGUCUUCUUGCUCGUGGAUGCUAAGUAAGGCUUCAAUAGCUUGAUUAAACUCCUCUCUCAAGACUCUAGUUCCGGAUCUUGUUCUUGGCCCUUGUCUCACGGCUGGUAUAGGUGGAGCUUGUGCUUCUAUGCCUUCAUCAUUCCCUCCCUCUUGCAAAGGUUCUGACCUCAGAACAGAUUCACCUGCAUCAUAUGGGGACAAGUCAGUAACAUUGAAAGUAGGAGAGAUAUGUAAACUCACCUGGCAGCUCCAGUUUGUAUGCAUUGUCGUUGAUUUUCUCCAAGACUCGGAAUGGCCCAUCUCCCCUCGGUGCAAGCUUGGAUUUUCUUUGUUGUGGGAACCUUUCUUGCCUCAUGUGCAACCACACCCACUCUCCUGGUUCAAAGGUAACCUCCUUGCGCCUUUUAUCAAUUCUUGCUUUGUCCUUUUCGUUCUUUUUCUCCAGCCUCUCUUUAACCUUUUGGUGCAGUUUCUUCACAAAAUCAGCCUUAGCUUCUCCUUCUGCGCUUGAAUAGAUAGCUGGUGGCAAAGUAGUAAGGUCUAAAGGCGUGUGAGGGUUGAACCCAUAGACAACUUCAAAAGGAGAUUGGUUAGUAGCGGAGUGUUUGGAACGAUUAUAAGCAAAUUCAAUGAAAGGUAGACAAGAUAACCAAUUCCUGAGAUUCUUACCAACCGUGGCUCUCAAUAAGGUUGAGAGUGUACGGUUUACUACCUCUGUUUGUCCAUCCGUUUGGGGAUGACAAGUGGUGGAGAAUAAAAGUUUGGUGCCAAGCUUUUUCCACAAUGUCUUCCAAUAAUGGCUGAGGAAUUUUGUGUCUCGGUCUGAAACAAUGGUCCUGGGCACUCCAUGAAGACGCACGACCUCUUUAAAGAAGAGAUCAGCUGUUUGAGUUGCAUCAUUGGUCUUGUUACAUGGUAUAAAGUGCGCCAUCUUUGAGAACCUGUCUACUACUACAAAAGUGGAGUCUUUGUUGUGUAUCUUAGGCAAGCCUAGAACAAAGUCCAUAGAAAUGUCCACCCAGGGUGCAUUAGGAAUAGGUAAAGGCAUAUGUAAACCAUUAGGGUGUAACCUGGACUUAGCUCGAAGACAAAUGAUGUGUUUGGUGCAUAGCUUCUCCACAUCUCUUCGCAUGUGUGGCCAGUAAAAGUGCUCCAUCAGCACGCUCAGUGUCUUGUCUCGGCCAAAGUGUCCCAUUAACCCGCCUCCAUGAGCCUCCCUAGUGAUCAACUCCCUUAUGGACCCUUUUGGGAUGCAUAGCCGCUUUUCCUUAAAUAGAAAUCCAUCUUGUUGGUAAAAUACUCCAAAUGCGGCCCUUGUAGUUUCUUUGUAGACCUUUGAGAAGUCGGGAUCAGAUUCAUAUCCACCCUUGAUGUGCUCAAACCCAUGAUCUUGGCUUCCAUUGUAGAGAUGAGAGUGUAACGCCUUGAAAGUGCAUCAGCUACAACGUUCUCUUGCCCCUUCUUGUACUUAAUCACAUAUGGGAAGGUUUCUACGAACUCUAACCAUCGGGCAUGCCUUUUCUUAAGUGUCGUCUGGCCUCUUAAGUGCUUGAGGGUCUCGUGGUCUGUGUGAAUGAUAAACUCCUUUGGAAGCAGAUAGUGUUGCCACGUCUCUAGUGAUCUCACUAAAGCAUAGAGUCCUUUAUCAUAGGUUGGGUAGUUGAGUGUUGCUCCACUUAGCUUCUCACCGAAGUAGGCUACUGGCCUCCCUCCCUGAGUUAGAACAGCUCCUAUGCCAGUACCUGAUGCAUCACACUCAACCUCAAACAUUUUAUCAAAGUUAGGAAGGACUAAAACCGGUGCCUGUGUGAGGCUCUCCUUCAGCUUGUUGAAUGCGGCUUCUUGAGUCGGCCCCUAAGUGAAAGUAGUGUUAUUCUUGAUCACCAAUGUCAGUGGGGCUGCUAUGGUACUGAAAUCCUUGACAAAGCGCCUGUAAAAACUUGCCAAACCAUGAAAGCUUCUAACAUGUCCAACCAUGGAUGGUGUAGGCCAUUCUUGGAUGGCUUUAAUCUUCUCCUCAUCCACUUUAAGACCCUGAGAACUUACAACAAAUCCUAAAAAUACCAAUUGAUCAGUGCAGAAAACACAUUUCUUAAGAUUUGCAUAUAAACCCUCUAAUCUAAGUGUCUCUAGAACCUGUUCAAGAUGCUUAAUAUAAUCUUCUAAGCAUUGGCUGUAAAUCAGAAUAUCAUCAAAGUAAACCACUACAAACUUACAGAUGUAUGCUCUAAAGACGUGGUUCAUGAGUCUCAUGAAGGUACUUGGGGCGUUUGUGAGGCCAAAAGGCAUCACAAGCCACUCGUAUAGACCUUGCUUGGUCUUGAAGGCAGUUUUCCACUCAUCUCCUUCCUUCAUUCUCACAUGAUGAUAGCCACUCUUUAGAUCCACCUUUGAAAAGAUAGUAGCUCCACUUAACUCGUCCAACAUGUCGUCUAGUCUCGGAAUUGGGUGCCUGUAUUUGAUGGUGAUGUUGUUAAUGGCCCUACAGUCCACACACAUCCUCCAAGAGCCAUCCUUCUUGGGCACUAACAAGACGGGUACUGCACACGGGCUGAGGCUCUCUCUUAUGAAUCCUUUAGACAUUAAAUCUUGGACUUGAGCCUCUAGCUCUUUGGCCUCUGUUGGGUUAACUCUAUAUGCGGCUCGGUUAGGCAAGGGUGCUCCGGGUACUAGUUCGAUCUGGUGCUCAAUGCCUCUUAUAGGUGGGAGACCGGCUGGUAUCUCUUCUGGAAAGACAUCUUGGAACUUUUCUAAUAGCUGAGCCACCUCGUGUGGGAGCUCGGGACCUUCCUCAGUUCCUGAAAGCAAACUUUCUCUAAAGAUCAUUAGUAAUACCGAUUGUUUAUGAUCGAGAGUUUUAAGAAUUGUACUUGGUGAGACAAAUAGAUUAGUUCUACUUAGCUGUCUUCCUUUGCUCAUGGCCUGCUGCAUCUCAUGAACUUCUGAUGGCGUGAGAGGGGCCAAGUUGUGCUUCUUGUUGUGGUGAGUGAAAGAAUAGUAGUUGGUGCGACCGUUGUGCAUGGUUUCUUUGUCAAAUUGCCACGGCCUCCCAAGGAGCAGGUGACCGGCUUGCAUGGGCACAACAUCACACGUGACUUGAUCACUAUAUUUUCCAAUGCUGAAUGGCACAACAACUUGCUCCGCAAUCCUCACCUCCGUGGUAUCAUUGAGCCAUCUUAAUCGGUAUGGGCUUGGGUGCUUUGUCUUUUCAAGACCUAACUUGUCUACAAGAUACUUGCUAGCCACGUUAGUACAAGAGCCACCAUCUAUAAUGAGACUACAUACCUUGUUUCCAAUGCUACAUCUUGUAUGAAAGAUGUUUUCUCUUUGGAGUGUCUCGGGGUCACUUAGAGCACCAAGAGAUCUCCUGAUUACCAACAUCUCUCCAACCUCAGGGAAACCGGUUACCUCUUCUUCUGAGCCAGUGGCUUCUAGCUCGGCCUCAUCUUGUGACUCAUACUCUCUAUUGUCUCUCAAUACCAUUACUCUUUGAUUCGGGCAUUCUUUUGCAAAGUGGCCUUUUCCCUGACACUUAAAGCACGUUAUAUCUCGAGACCUUUGAUUAGGGGCCUUACCUUGCUCAUGUGGAGCCGGCUUUGAUGGCCCGGAAGCUGGUUUCUUGAACCGACUUUCCACUUCUAUGGAUUUGCCUUUGUCCAACGGUUUAGAGAAGGGUUGAGUCCAAGUAGACUUUCCUCGGCUAGUGGCUGCUUUCUUCUUGAAAUGCUGCUCGGCUUGUAUAGCAAAGUGCAGUAGAUCCUCCAUGUGCUCAUAGCUCUGCCACUCUACUUUUCUCGCUAUUCUAUCUUGGAGGCCAUCAACGAAUUGGGCCAUCAAUGUCUCCUCCGAGUCUUGAAGCUCCAAUCGAUUUCUGAUGGUCUCAAACAACUCAUAAUAUUCUUCUACGGGCCUGUUUCCCUGAGACAACUUCCGAAAACGUUUCUGUAAGUCUCUAAAGUAAUAAGCGGGUACAUACCUCUUCCUUAGGUGGAAUGUCAUGUCCUCCCAAGUGGUGAUCUGACCACGUCUUAGCCUCCGUCUUUCAGAGACUUCUCGGUCCCACCAAGUGAGAGCAUUGUCGGUCAGCUGUGCGACGGCUAGAGACACCUUCUUGGCUUCGGAAUAUUGGUAGUAAUCAAAGAUAUGAUCCAUUCUUCUUUCCUAAUCCAGGUAAGCCUCGGGGUUGACCUUUCUAGCAAAGGUAGGUGGUGUAAGUUUAAGAUCUUUGCCCCCAUGUCUCUCGUCUUCUGUAUCUCUCUCUCGGCUCCUCCCUCUUUCACGGCGCUGAUGCUGGCCUUGGCCAUGGUUAUCCCGUCUGCCCCGCCGGUGAUUUGGGUCAGGUGGGAGUUCAUCUUCGAGAUUAGGCAUGUCAUCAUCAGUCUCUUCUCCAUCUUGGUCAUGUUGUUGCCUUGGUUGGUUCCCAUUGUUGUUGGGUUGGGCUGGUGGUGGCAACCGUUGUUCCAUCAAGUUAAGACGGUCGCUCAGAGUCCUCAUACCGUCAAGUAGUUGCUGCAUGACUUCUGGUAGAGGUGCGGCAUUGUCUCCCAUGAUUGGUGUCUACGUUCAAGAGCAAACAAAGAUCAAGUGCAAAGAGAAAUAGAAAUUCGACUAAAUGUUGUUUUGGUUCUUUCCUUUUCUUUUUUUAAUGCAAUAAAAACGACGGUGCAAUGUUAAAGAAAUGUAAACUCUUUCCUUUUUUUUGUACGUGAUUAUGAAAACUGUCCUUUUCUGGCUAACUAGGGCUUUUGACAAAAUUUUCGUUCUAACAAUGAGCCGUAACUAAUCGAUGCUAUGAAUGAUGCUAAGGAGAAUGAUUUUAGAUAUAUAGAUGAAUGCUCAAGAUGAUAUGCGAUGUAUGCGACCAAUUAGAACUCUUUUUUUUUUUUGACUAAGUGUGCGACAAGAAAAAAAAGAUGCAAAAGAGAAUUAACCGAAAGGUAUGAAAAGAUAAAACCUGGUUUUGGAACCUUUCGGCUCUGAUACCAGAUGAUAUAGGCACGGGCCUAUAGAUGGGGAUGGAUCCUUGUUGCUGGUUGUGUAACUCUCUCAACAAGAAUAAGGAAUGGAAGUUGAUGUGAAAAGAGGGUGGAACUCGAUCAGUUGGUUGUGUAACUCUCUCUGAUUGAGUCAAGGGAUGAAACGACGAUGAUGCAAACGGUGGAAUGAGGGUCGCCACAAAGCUCUAUGGACUGAACCUUGAUAAGACCGGCGAGAGAUGGAUCAAACACCAACUCUCAAGAGGAGGAUCAAACACCAACUCUUAAGCGAAUUCAGAGAAUUCAAAGACAAGACAAAGCUUGAAAGAACUGCGUUAUUUUAUUGAUAGUAGGGUAAAAGAUACACGGCUGCUUAUAAGGGACUUUAUAAGAGAGUCCAAUGCAGCUUUGCCCUUCUUGGGGACUUGAAGCAAAUUACAUAAUAAGGACACAACUUCUGAGACUCUAAGAAAACAAUACAGACUCGUGCAAUAACUAAAAGAUAUUAAGAAAUACUUUUAAAGCUUAAAACUAUGAAUAGAACCUGUAAAACAAACCAAAGACAGAAAAUCCAUAUUAGGCAAGUAAAUAAACGUAUUCAUUCUCUUACCUUGGUGGGUUGGACGGCUGAGAUGAUCUUAAGUUGUUAUGAUGCUGAUGCUGAACAAGGACACUUCUUUGUUGGGUCGGAGAAGUGGCAAUUCAGUUGUUGGGCCGUCUUGUAUCAGGUAAGCUUCUUCUUUAUUAGGCUCCUCCAGGCUUCUUUCUUGGACCGUGGCCUUAAAGCUUGGGUACAAAGAGUCUUCUUGCUCGUGGAUGCUAAGUAAGGCUUCAAUAGCUUGAUUAAACUCCUCUCUCAAGACUCUAGUUCUGGAUCUUGUUCUUGGCCCUUGUCUCACGGCUGGUAUAGGUGGAGCUUGUGCUUCUAUGCCCUCAUCACAUGCCAUUGAAGGAGAAUUCUCCAAUUUAUCUUCUAUUCAUGAAAACCUUCAACAAAACAGGACACACUCUUUCAGCAAUCUUAGAGCUGCCUGCUAGCCAGAAGGAAGUUGCACGUGCUAAGAACAUGGAGUUGUGGAUCCAAUUGCAUAACAAAUCUCGUGAUGAUGCAAAACAAGAAGCCUACAUGAUGUUGACAAAUGCGUUUUUUCCCGUU